UCCGGGCCCUUCCACCCCAGCCUCACCCCACCCACCGAAUUCCUCCACGCCCCCGGGAUCGCUAUGGCGGGCGUGGCGGGGAGGCUGGCCCGGCGCUGGUGUCGGAGUGCCGUCCGGAGUCCUCUGCAGGUCAUUAGUUUCCCAUCACUUCAGUUGCACUUGAGUGGAACAGCAAUGAGAGCCAGUCAGGAGGACUUUGAAAGUGCAAUGAAUCAGGUAAAACUGUUGAAGAAGGAUCCAGGAAAUGAAGUGAAGCUAAGACUCUAUGCACUAUAUAAGCAGGCCACUGAAGGACCUUGCAAUAUGCCCAAACCAGGUGUGUUUGACUUUAUUAAUAAGGCCAAAUGGGAUGCAUGGAAUGCUCUAGGCAGUCUGCCCAAGGAAACUGCCAGGCAGAACUAUGUAGAUUUGGUAUCCAGUUUGACUUCUUCAUCUGAGUCCUCCACCCAAGUGAAGCCUGGAGCAGACAGGGGACAACAGGAAUAUGAAAACCUAGUGGUGACCUCUGAAGACGGCAUCACAAAGAUCAUGUUCAACCGGCCCACCAGAAAGAAUGCAAUCAGCACCCAGAUGUAUCAAGAAAUCAUGCUUGCACUUAAAGCUGCAAGCAAGGAUGACUCGACCAUAACUGUUGUAACAGGAAAUGGCGACUAUUACUGUAGUGGGAAUGACCUGGCUAACUUCACUGAUAUUCCCCCUGGUGGAGUAGAAGAGAAAGCCAAACAAAGUGCUAUUAUGCUGAGGGAUUUUGUAGGCACUUUUAUAGAUUUUCCUAAGCCUCUGGUUGCAGUGGUAAACGGUCCAGCUGUGGGGAUCUCCGUCACCAUCCUCGGACUGUUCGAUGCUGUGUAUGCCUCUGACAGGGCAACAUUUCAUACUCCUUUUAGUCACCUAGGCCUAAGCCCAGAAGGAUGCGCCUCUUACACUUUUCCGAAGAUAAUGGGCCCAGCCAAGAGAAGGAAAUUUUCUGCUCAUCAACUCUUAAAGAGUUUUAGAAUGAAGAACCAGGCUGUGGGAAAUGUCUGCUAUGGGGGGAAAUCAGAAACUCGCUCUCCAGCACCCCAAAUCUGGGGGACUGGUCUUUCCACUGGCUGCCGAGUGCCAGCUGCACCACAAGUGGCACAGGCCUCCUCCUCCACAGCUGCGCGGCAUUCUUCAGGGGCAGGACUGGAGCUGUGCCCGCCUCCCUUGGUCUGCGAGGCUGAUUCCUCUCCUAAUUUCCUCAUGGAUGAGCAUCAUCCACUGAAAGUGAUACAGUGACAUCUUUACUUUCAGAAUCAUGGGAAGUACCAGCAGAUGUGAGGCCCCACGGGGUCCCACUUUGUCACGGAGCCUUUUCAUCAGCUGGUUUUAGCAGGGUCUGAAGGUUCCUGGAGUGGCGAGGUGGCUGCUCAGGUCUAUCACUGGGUCUAUGAAAGCAUAAUUGUCACGCUCUGUGUACAUAGUUCCAAAGGGUUCGUGACAAGACCAGAGAGACAGGGAUAGGGAAAGGCUUAGCAAACAUUCUUCAAGGCCUGAAAGGGAGAGUAGGAAUUGAGCCUAUUUUCAUUGCUAUUAGGGUUUUGUCACAUAUUUUUUAAGUCUUUUCUGUCAUAUACCUUGAAUUGUUAUUGAGGUUUUAACUUUGAAACAUUGGCUAGAAAUAACCCUAAGGUUUAAAAGCAUUUGGCUAUGAAAUAGUCUUACUUUUCUGGAAGAGAAACUGCAAGUGUAGAAAUAUAUAUACUUAGUGAUACCGGGUUUUUUUGAAACUGAAUAUUAGUCUUAUCACUUUCCUUCAGUCAAAUAGAACUAAUUUGAGUGCCUGUGCAGGUAAAAGAAAACCAUCAGAGCUGGACCACUGGGUAAAAUUUCCAGGGAAGGGAAUUUUGAAGGUUAGGGAUUCUAAAAGUUGGUUGGCAUUUCCUAUGACCAUGAUUUUUUUAUCUUUUUAAAAAUAAUUGUUUAUAGUGUAUAAAAGCAGAAAAUCAUAUCUUCUGUGGGUUAUAAAGUCAGCACCUGCUUCAGGUCAUUCCUGCCCCAGCUUCCUCUCCAACACAGAUAACACACAGAAGCAACAACCCUACAAACCUUCUAGAGAGCCUCACUGCUCAGUUUGCAAAUUAUUGCCUAUUGAUGUCCUCAGUUUCUUCCUUUGAGAAAUACUAGCAACCUCGAAAGACCAUAAGCAACAGAGAUGCUUAUUUUUGGAAAGAAGUUAACAGCAGGAGAAGCAUGUGCUCAAGGACUUGUUACUGAAGUUUUUCCUGAUAGUACUUUUCAGAAAGAAGUUUGGACUAGGCUGAAAGCAUAUUCAAAGCUCCCCCCAAA